rnacentral:rRNA from 1 species
GAGACACGUGGGUGAUCUGCCCUGCACUUCGGGAUAAGCCUGGGAAACUGGGUCUAAUACCGGAUAGGACGAUGGUUUGGAUGCCAUUGUGGAAAGUUUUUCGGUGUGGGAUGAGCUCGCGGCCUAUCAGCUUGUUGGUGGGGUAAUGGCCUACCAAGGCGUCGACGGGUAGCCGGCCUGAGAGGGUGUACGGCCACAUUGGGACUGAGAUACGGCCCAG